GUGGCUGUAGUGUAAUGGCAGCACGGCGUGCAUAGUUGCAUCAACAAAAAGGCGAUGUCAUCACGCAGGACCUGGUUCGAACCCUGGCAGUCACA